UACGUAGGGUCCGAGCGUUGUCCGGAAUUACUGGGCGUAAAGAGCUCGUAGGUGGUUUGUCACGUUGUUCGUGAAAACCCACAGCUCAACUGUGGGCGUGCGAGCGAUACGGGCAGACUAGAGUACUGCAGGGGAGACUGGAAUUCCUGGUGUAGCGGUGGAAUGCGCAGAUAUCAGGAGGAACACCGGUGGCGAAGGCGGGUCUCUGGGCAGUAACUGACGCUGGAGGAGCGAAAGCGUGGGGAGCAACAGG
rnacentral:rRNA from 1 species